CAGUCGCCGCGGGAAUACAGAGGGUGCAAGCGUUAAUCGGAUUUACUGGGCGUAAAGGGCGCGUAGGUGGUUAUGUAAGUGAGAUGUGAAAUCCCCGGGCUCAACCUGGGAACUGCAUCUUAUACUGCGUAGCUGGAGUGCAGUAGAGGGUAGUGGAAUUUCCGGUGUAGCGGUGAAAUGCGUAGAUAUCGGAAGGAACACCAGUGGCGAAGGCGGCUACCUGGACUGACACUGACACUGAGGCGCGAAAGCGUGGGGAGCAAACAGGAUUAGAUACCCCAGUAGUCCCUGUCUCUUAUAC
rnacentral:rRNA from 1 species